GUGAUCAUAUCAGAACUAAUGCACCGGAUCCCAUCAGAACUCCGAAGUUAAGCAUGCUUGGGCGAGAGCAGUACUAGGAUGGGUGAUCCCCUGGGAAGUCCUCGUGUUGCACCU
rnacentral:rRNA from 1 species